CCGGCGCACGGGUGAGUAACACGUACGGAACCUGCCCUAUGCAGGGGGAUAAGCGGAAGAAAUUCCGUCUAAUACCGCAUAACACCUUUAGGAGACAUCUUCUUGGGGGUCAAAGGAGGCGACUCCGGCAUAGGAUGGCCAUGCGUCGCAUUAGCUAGUCGGCGGGGUAACGGCCCACCGAGGCGACGAUGCGUAGGGGUUCUGAGAGGAAGGUCCCCCACACUGGUACUGAGACACGGACCAGACUCCUACGGGAGGCAGCAG
rnacentral:rRNA from 1 species